AAAUCUGCUGCUCAAGAACCACUGGGCCAGAAAAGCUGAAACUUGUGUGGAAGCAUCCUGGGGUAGUGUAGAUUCUAAAUUGUUCAAAUCAUGACCACCGGGGGUAGGGCGGGGCCACAAUGGGGAAUCAAAUUUUUACAUAGAAAUAUAUAGGAAAAAUCUUUGAAAAUCUUCUUCUUAAGAACCACUGGGCCAGAAAAGCUGAAACUUAUGUGGAAGCAUCCUGGGGUAGUGUAGAUUUCAAAUUGUCUAAAUUUUGAUCAGUGGGGUAGGGUGGGGUCACAAUAUGUGUUACAAGGGGGAAAUCUGGUAAAGAACAGAAUGGUCAAAGCUUCUCAGGUGAGUGAUGUGGCCCAUGGGCCUCUUGUUUGUAAAAUUUCACAUUUUCAUCUUUGGUCAAAUUCAACGAAACUUGGCAAAGAGUAUCCUUGGAUAAAUGCCAUUAUGGGAUUUAAGUUUAUUCAAAUGAAGGCCCACUCCCUCUUCAAAUGGAAGAUUACUACAAAUAAGAGAAAAAUUAAGGACAUCUUUUAAAAAUCUUCUUUUCAAGAACCACUGAGACAGGAAAGAGACACUUAUGUGGCAUCAUCCUCAGGUAGUGUAGAUUCAAAAUUAGUCAAAUCAAGACCCCAUGUUGGUGUCAGAAUAGGGGAUCAAAAAUAUAUAUAAUACUGUAGAUUCCUUAUUUUUCGCGAGUAAUUAUCGCGAAUAGGCUUUUCACCGUCAAAUCACAAGAAUAAUAAUUCGCAAAUGCAUGGUUGGUUAAGAGAUUUUACAUAGAUUUCAGCGCCAUAAAAAUAAAGGCGAGUAAUUUAAUUUUGUGUGUGGUGCUUCUCACGAAAUUACGCGAAAAUUAAUUCCACGCACAUAUUUAGGAAUCUACAGUAUGUAGGGAUAUACUUUUUUUUUCUCAAGCCACAAUUAGUUAUAUUGAUAGCAAAUCAUCCUUUUUGGUAGUGAAGAUUUCAUUUUGUUCAAAUCAUGUCUACCGGGAAAAGGUUUGGGCCACAUUGGACAAUCAAAGUUUUACAUUGGAUUAUAUUGGAAAUAUUUUUAGAAAUCUUCUCAGAAACAAAUAUGUCAUGACUGGUGAUAUGUAUACGGUAGCAUCUUCAUGUAGUGUAGAUUUAAGUUUGUUCAAAUCAUGACUCCCAGGUGUAGGGCAGGGCCCCAAUGGUGGAUCAAAAUGGACAGGGGAAUACUGUAAAUCACUUUUUAUUCGCGAGAACUUUAUUUUCACAUUAUUACGCGAGACGGUAUGGUCGCGAAAAUUUCAUUCUCGCAUAUAAUAUAAUUCCUUAAGAUUAUAUAGAGCAAUGACCACAAUUUUGAAAAUUUUGUCUCGCUAAUGAAGAGUCAUUGACUAUCUCGCGAAAAUAAGGUGUUGCGAAAAUUAAGUGAUUUACAGUAUAUAGGAAACGUCUUCUCAAUAAUACCAAAGCCAUAUAUAGUCAUAUUGAUAUGGAAGCAUCCUUAGGUAGUGUAGAUUCAAAUUUGUCCAAAUCUUGAUUCCAGGGGGCAGGGAGGGGCAUCAAUGGGGAUAAAAUUUUAACAAAGGAAUAUAUAGGAAAAAAUUUUAUGUUCAAGAACAGCUAAGCCAUUGUUAUUGAUAUGAAAAUGUCUCCAGGUAGUUAUUCAAGCCCCCUUCUCCUCUUCCUAAAUUUUAUACUUUUCAAUACUGGACUAAUUUGUCAUUUACUAGCCAAUAUGCUUAGGUGAGCAUAUUGCCCAUUGGCCACUAGUUUAUUUUAGAAAUCUUCUCACUUGGUAUGAAGUGCAAGUGAUCCCCUUUUGGUGUCUGUUAAUUUUUAUCUUUUUAAGAGGAAUACUUUUAAGGCUGAACAGGAUCCUGAAGUGAGGAGGACUCCCUCUCUCAUUGAACUGCAUACAGCAGCAGAAAGCAGGAUUUCAGUUCCCCUUUGAUUCAGAAGAGGAACAACAAUGGAGGACCAAGGUCAUUAAUAUAAGAAGAGUCUAUUCCUGUCUGUGUUUUGCAGCAGAAGAAAGUUAAGACUGACCAGGAAUUCUAAGUGAGGAAGAGUCCCUUUCCCAUUCCGCUGCAGCCAUGAGGAGAAUACUCGUAAGAAUCAGACUUUACUUCUUUUUUACCUAUGGAACUUCAUCAUGACCCACUUUAACAGGCAGGAGUCUUACAAGUAUUUUUUAUUUAAUUAUUUCUGACAUAUCUUUGUCCUCCCUACUCUAAAGUAACUAUGCUUUCCUCUCCUUGCCCCAAUAUUCCACCUUAUUCCUAGCUAUCAUAACCUUAUUGUCUUUAUUUGCUUUUUGAUUUUCAAGCUAAUAAUGUUGUAAUGAUUAUGUUCAUUUGAAUUUCUGUGAUUAUUACAUUGCUUUGUAUUAUUGCUUAUCUUCUCUCCAUCAAGUAUUUUCAAGGAAUUUGACAAGGGAAGAGGACCAGUGCUGACCAAGUGAAGAAAAAGAAGAGUCUAUUGCCAAGCUUUGUACAGCAGCCAAUAUCUGAUUAAGGAGUGGGUAAAAAGAUUUAUUUUUUGCAAUUUACAAAUUUUCUUUAUACACUUAUCAAAUCAUAGGUCCAGGGGGAUUUACUUCUGCUGCACAACAGCAAGACUGUGUUGCAAUAACAAUAGGGCAUCCCGAGGAUGUGUUGUUUCAAAUUACGUUACAUCAUGAUCCCUUUGGACUAGGAUUAGUAAAAAAAAUAUGAAUUAAGAAUUUC